AGCCCGGUCUCCAUGACAACCACGGGACGACUGUCGCGAGCGCUCAGCGACAGGACGGGAGCCGGCCCGGGUGGUGGAGGGAAGAAGGCGCCGGGCAGAGAUCUUUCAGCAAGCUUUGGAGCGGGAGGCAAGGUUCAGCCGUUGCGUUUGAGGGCGGGCGUCAGCCCUUGCGUAGAGCAGAGAGAUAGGGGAGGUUUCUAUAUUCUCCUGAAAACUUUAGAGUUGGAAUGAAUGUUGGGAGAUCUUAGUCACUGCAUGGAACUGCUACAGCAUCCCUGACAGACUGUGUCCACCCUCUGUUUGAAAACUUCUAGAGAAAGAAAUUGUACCACUGCACAAGAAUUUUAGAAAAAGACACUGAUGUAUUCAUUAGCUCCUCACCUGGAACAGUGAUAUAGACUGAUCUAGCCCAGCUGUCAUAACAACUUGAGCAGAAGGAUGAAACUGCACAGUUGUCAGUUUUGCAUCUGACAGACGUUCAUUAUUGGCAUGCAAGCAGUUCUUCAUCUGAUAAGCAGAAUAAGAAUGUACAAGCCCCCAGAGCUGCUGGAAAAGCCAUUUCUGGUGGUCAAGGAAACCUGACACACUGCAUGGGAUGCUGUACUAGUGGCUGCAGAAGAAGUAUGAUCAAGAAGCAACUGCCAUCUCCACACAGUUUCUUGAAUUAUCCCCCUCCUACUGCUGUCCCUGGUGUGGCAUCACUUAUUCACUGUUCUACAUGUGCUUCUGUGGCUGCUACCUAUUGUGCUCCUGAAAACAUCACAAUAUUGGUUUUAAAUUGUUUUCAGAAUUUCAUUUUUAACUUGCUGUAUAUUGUUGCAAACCACCCGGAGACUUAAGUUUAGGGCAAACUACAAAUGUGAAAAACAAAUA